rnacentral:rRNA from 1 species
AACGAACGCUGGCGGCAUGCCUAACACAUGCAAGUCGAACGAGACCUUCGGGUCUAGUGGCGCACGGGUGCGUAACGCGUGGGAACCUGCCCUUAGGUUCGGAAUAACUCCCCGAAAGGGGUGCUAAUACCGGAUAAUGUCUUCGGACCAAAGAUUUAUCGCCUUUGGAUGGGCCCGCGUUGGAUUAGCUAGUUGGUAGGGAAAAAGCCUACCAAGGCGACGAUCCAUAGCUGGUCUGAGAGGAUGGUCAGCCACACUGGGACUGAGACACGGCCCAGACUCCUACGGGAGGCAGCAAUGGGGAAUAUUGGACAAUGGGCGAAAGCCUGAUCCAGCAAUGCCGCGUGAGUGAUGAGGGCCUUAGGGUUGUAAAGCUCUUUUAACCGGGAUGAUAAUGACAGUACCGGGAGAAUAAGCGCCGGCUAACUCCGUG